rnacentral:rRNA from 1 species
UACGGAGGAUGCGAGCGUUAUCCGGAUUUAUUGGGUUUAAAGGGUGCGUAGGCGGGUUAUCAAGUCAGCGGUAAAAUCGUGGAGCUCAACUCCAUCCAGCCGUUGAAACUGAUGAUCUUGAGUGGGCGAGAAGUAUGCGGAAUGCGUGGUGUAGCGGUGAAAUGCGUAGAUAUCACGCAGAACUCCGAUUGCGAAGGCAGCAUACCGGCGCCCGACUGACGCUGAAGCACGAAAGCGUGGGUAUCGAACAGG